GCAGGUUAACUGCUGUGGGCAAAAGGCAUUCAAUCCCAACCAGAAGCUGAAGGAUUCGUCCACAAUUUCCCAGUGGUCCUCCACUAAGGGCUGCUCCUAGGAUAUGUGGGGCCUGCCCCACGUGGUGCUGGUCACCCUUGUGCAUCCAGAGAAUGAGUCCAGACAGAGCAUGAGCGGGGGAAGGGCAGAGAGAGAGGAAGAGAGAGUAUCUGAAGCGGGCUGGAUGCUGUCAGCACAAAGCCCGACGAUGAUGCGGAGGCUGGAUCUCAAGAGCCGAGCCAUGAACUCCUGACCUGAGCUGAAGUCAGAUGUUCAACCACCACCCAGGUGGCCCGGAGGACAUUCGGGGAUGAUCAACUGGUCCCAGGAGGAGAAGAUGAGAGGAGUGGCGGGGAAAGCAGUCCCAGCUAACUGCCUCAGACAAGCUCAGCCUGGCCAGACACUCCAGCCAAACCACAGAUGUGCACGCAAUAAACACUUCCUGUUCCAGGCAGCCAGGUUCUGU